rnacentral:rRNA from 1 species
UGCAAGCGCAGCUACCAUGCAGUCGAGCGGAACGAAGAGGUGCUUGCACCUCUGGCGUCGAGCGGCGGACGGGUGAGUAAUGCUUGGGAAUAUGCCUUAUGGUGGGGGACAACAGUUGGAAACGACUGCUAAUACCGCAUGAUGUCUACGGACCAAAGUGGGGGACCUUCGGGCCUCACGCCAUAAGAUUAGCCCAAGUGGGAUUAGCUAGUUGGUGAGGUAAUGGCUCACCAAGGCGACGAUCCCUAGCUGGUUUGAGAGGAUGAUCAGCCACACUGGGACUGAGACACGGCCCAGACUCCUACGGGAGGCAGCAGUGGGGAAUAUUGCACAAUGGGCGCAAGCCUGAUGCAGCCAUGCCGCGUGUGUGAAGAAGGCCUUCGGGUUGUAAAGCACUUUCAGUAAGGAGGAAAGGUUAAGUGUUAAUAGCACUUAGCUGUGACGUUACUUACAGAAGAAGCACCGGCUAACUCCGUGCCAGCAGCCGCGGUAAUACGGAGGGUGCGAGCGUUAAUCGGAAUUACUGGGCGUAAAGCGUACGCAGGCGGUUUGUUAAGCGAGAUGUGAAAGCCCCGGGCUCAACCUGGGAACUGCAUUUCGAACUGGCAAACUAGAGUGUGAUAGAGGGUGGUAGAAUUUCAGGUGUAGCGGUGAAAUGCGUAGAGAUCUGAAGGAAUACCGAUGGCGAAGGCAGCCACCUGGGUCAACACUGACGCUCAUGUACGAUAGCGUGGGGAGCAAACAGGAUUAGAUACCCUUGGUAGUCC